CCACUGGUCAUACUUAGUACGGCGAGUGAAGCGGUAAAAGCUCAAAUUUGAAAUCUGGUACUUUCAGUGCCCGAGUUGUAAUUUGUAGAAUUUGUCUUUGAUUAGGUCCUUGUCUAUGUUCCUUGGAACAGGACGUCAUAGAGGGUGAGAAUCCCGUUUGGCGAGGAUACCUUUUCUCUGUAAGACUUUUUCGAAGAGUCGAGUUGUUUGGGAAUGCAGCUCAAAGUGGGUGGUAAAUUCCAUCUAAAGCUAAAUAUUGGCGAGAGACCGAUAGCGAACAAGUACAGUGAUGGAAAGAUGAAAAGAACUUUGAAAAGAGAGUGAAAAAGUACGUGAAAUUGUUGAAAGGGAAGGGCAUUUGAUCAGACAUGGUGUUUUUUGCAUGCACUCGCCUCUCGUGGGCUUGGGCCUCUCAAAAAUUUCACUGGGCCAACAUCAAUUCUGGCAGCAGGAUAAAUCAUUAAGAAUGUAGCUACUUCGGUAGUGUUAUAGCUUUUUGGAAUACUGUUAGCCGGGAUUGAGGACUGCGCUUCGGCAAGGAUGUUGGCAUAAUGGUUAAAUGCCGCCCGUCUUGAACCAACGGGACCA
rnacentral:rRNA from 1 species